rnacentral:rRNA from 1 species
GAUGAACGCUGGCGGCGUGCCUAAUACAUGCAAGUCGAGCGAACGGACGCGAAGCUUGCUUCUCUGAUGUUAGCGGCGGACGGGUGAGUAACGCGUGGAUCACCUACCUAUAAGACUGGGAUAACUUCGGGAAACCGGAGCUAAUCCCGGAUAAUAUUUUGAACCGCAUGGUUCAAAAGUGAAAGACGGUCUUGCUGUCACUUAUAGAUGGAUCCGCGCUGCAUUAGCUAGUUGGUAAGGUAACGGCUUACCAAGGCAACGAUGCAUAGCCGACCUGAUAGGGUGAUCGGCCACACUGGAACUGAGACACGGACCUGACUCCUACGGGAGGCAGCAGGAGGGAAUCGUCCGCAAUGGGCGAAAGCCUGACGGAGCAACGCCGCGUGAGUUAUGAAGGUCUUCGGAUCGUAAAACUCUGUUAUGAGGGAAGAACAUAUGUGUAAGUAACUGUGCACAUCUUGACGGUACCUAAUCAGAAAGCCACGGCUAACUACGUG